UUUUCUCCAUUCUAAUAUCUACAUUCUUAUGGCAACUUUUCAACUGUACAAUCUUAAUACUACCUUUACAUUAACAGAAGAGGCCUACUACGCUGAGGAAGUGGUACAUGUUACUGUUCCCGAGGAAGCACCACCAGCUAAAGUGCCCAUGAUCCGGAAAAGACCAGAACCUGAAAAGAAAGCACCUAUGGCUGUUCCCAAGAAAGUGGAAGCUCCACCACCAACAAUAGUGUCCAAGAAAAUUCCUCCUGAAGAAAGGGAACCACCUAAAGUAAAAGAACCUCCACCACCAAAAGUGAUUGAAGUCCACAAGAAAAAGGUUGUCACUGAAGAAAAAAUAGCUGUUACUAAAAAGGAGGAGGCUCCACCCAAAAGAGUGCCAGCUGUAGCAAAGAAACCAGUGCCAGAAGAGAAGGUCCCUGUACCAGUUCCUAAGAAAAAGGUGGCACCACCUGCAAAAGUGCCGGAAGUUCCAAAGACAAUGAUCUCCGAAGAAAAAGUAUCUAUUGCUGUUCCAAAACCAAAACCACCUCCUCCCACAAAAGGUACUCAGACUUAGAAUUAAUCCCAUAUACAUAGAGAUCAUGUGCUGAGAAUCUCCCUGUUAAUUCUCCUAUUCAACACAAAAUUGUCAGGGAAGUUUAUUCUUUUCUCCCAAUACAAUUGAGGGUAUAACAAAGGGCCAACUCUUUUCUGUCUUUUUUUGUUCAAAUGCAGAAGAGUGACCUUUGGAGAUAUACAUAUUUUGUUUUCCUUCGAAUCACUUCCUUGGUCAACUAGGAAUUUUCGCUGUGCACCACAGAUAGCAUUCCUUGGAAGGUAUACUAAAAUUAAAUACUCUGUUUUUGCUCACAGCUGUAGAAGAGCGAUGGGGAUAUGCAGAGGAAGUGUCUGUUACUCUUCAUACAGAGGAGGAAGUCUCUUAUACAGGUAUGAAGUUAGCCGGAGCGGAAAAAAAACAGAGAUCCUGACCAAGCUCACAAGAUAGUUUAUGACAAGCCUGCCAUCUCGUUUUGGACCUGAAUGUGAAUGCAAA
rnacentral:lncRNA from 1 species